CCCUGUUAUCCUAAAAUAUUUAAAAUAAUUCAAAAAAAAUUUAAUUAAAUAAAUCUGACGGUAUUAACUUUUACAAAGGAAUUUGUUUCUAAAUCGAAAAUACACGACUAACCUUACUUAACUUUAAUGCAUGUAUACCACCGUUAAGAAUUUAUUUAAAAUAAAAUUCCUAAUAAAAAUUUUCUUAAAAAAUCAGGUCAAGGUGCAGCUUGAUUAAGUUGAAAUGAACUACACUUCAAUUACAUAUAAAAUUUGAAAUAAAAUUAAAAAAAGAAUUUGAUAGUAAAAAUAUAUCAUCAUGAUAAUUUGAAAAUCACCAUUAAUAUGUACAUAUCGCCCG
rnacentral:rRNA from 1 species